UACGGAGGGGGCUAGCGUUGUUCGGAAUUACUGGGCGUAAAGCGCACGUAGGCGGCUUUGUAAGUUAGAGGUGAAAGCCCGGGGCUCAACUCCGGAAUUGCCUUUAAGACUGCAUCACUUGAACGUCGGAGAGGUGAGUGGAAUUCCGAGUGUAGAGGUGAAAUUCGUAGAUAUUCGGAAGAACACCAGUGGCGAAGGCGGCUCACUGGACGACUGUUGACGCUGAGGUACGAAAGCGUGGGGAGCAAACAGG
rnacentral:rRNA from 1 species